GCUGGACUAAACUGUUUAUAAAGAUUUAAGAAUCGACAUUUUUCUUAAACUAACGCAUCGUUUCGCUUCAGAAGUCCUUUAUUAACACCCCGGAGCCGUGUGGAGUAGUUUUGCGAUGGAUGGGUACUUUUUUUCGGAUUCAGAAACAGGGGCACCAUUCACUGCAAUUAUACAGAUUGGAACAGACAGGACAAUGUUGAAUAUAACUCCGAAUGUGUUCAUCUGAAAGAGGAAUGUCAGACACGCCUAGGAUGACCUGAGGGAAGUAAUCAGACAGUCUCGGAUGUUGAUGCAGUGGAGUAGAAAUUGGCAGACCCCACCUUCCAGAAACAAGUGGUUGCUGUGGUUGCAGAAAUUGGAGUGAGUACUGUGGAUGAAGCCACAAGAAGAAUGAGGGCCUUCCUUUUGGACCACCCCUUAUCAAGAGAGUUCAAUUUUGUUGGCCGGCAUGGAAAGCUACAGUUUCUGGGGCUCAAACUGCUUGAGGUUGUAUAUGGAAGCUUGAAAAAAAUGAUCUUACAAACCAAAUUACCAGAAACGAGGCAGAAAAGUCAGUGUCAAAGUGGCUAAUCGGUGACGGGAGGAAACCGUUCUGCAAGGUCACAUAGUAGAGACUAAGAUGGGAUUGUUGGGAGAGCGAGGACAGAGGAGUGAGGAGCUGUACUGUUGGUGUGUUUGUUUGUGAAAUGUAUUUUAGAGUUUUCAGAUAUGCGUAUACAAAUGAUUCAAGUUAUUCCAAAUAAUGUUUGUCAGGAG